AAUUAUGCUGUUCUCCACAGGUGCCUGGAAAAACUCCAGAUGGGACUUCGCACCAUCUCCAGUUUGAGGGAAGAGAAAGACAAUAUGCCUCCUUACCCAGGCAUGGACCCAUAGAACCCAUGGAGUAUAUAGCGGGACAACAGGUGAUGUAUAAAGACAGAGAUCUUCCUUACUAUCAAGCUGGCCACCCAUCAGUACAUCCCUCCAAAGGGAGCUAUGCUCUCCCACAAGAUGGCCCAAGGGCAACAGAGAUAUGGUAUCCUCAGUGUGGUCUCCCACAAGAACCAGUAGGCCAGCACAAAGGACCCCUCCGCCAAGAUGUGCCACCCUCCCCGCCUCAAGGCCACAGGGGGCUGCCUUAUCAUGAAAUGGGCAGACUCGCUCAUCGCCAAGCCGGCCCGGAUCAGUACCAAUACAGGCAUCAAGAUCCUAGGCACAAGGACCGCAUGACUGCGGCCGUAUAGCCUAAAGCCGGACUCCUGUCGAUAUCUCACCUUGCAGCCGUUACCACUGAUCUUGCCUACCCCAGGGGAGAGAUGUCGUUUGAGCCUGUCCAGUUUGCACCCAGGACACGUUCGUGAACAUAACUGCAAGCUCGCAAAAAGCGGUACAAUGACUUUUGGGUACCACCAGCGUGUCGGAGUGUGUGUUUUAACGCUUCCUCAAACGUAGAAGGCGGCAGGUGAAGAGUAAGCAGAAUUUCUUCUAAGCACGCCUUAAAAGUGCCACUCAGGGCUGUUUGCAACUAACUACACAAGCACAUGCUAGAUGCCCACAUUGCAGGGAACUAUUUUGGACAUUGUUUCAGAAAGAGUAUUCCAUGGGUGCCACUGUGUGUGCCCCCAGUAUGGCAGACCCUUCUUUUCUAUGACCUCUGAUUGGAGAAUUGUUUUAAGAGUGGAGAUGGGCUCUCGGUGUGACCUGACAUUUCUCUCUCUUGUCAUAGGGAAAUACUGUUUUGCUCUCAUCCCGGUCAUAUUUUUUAAUUGCCCCUUCAGAUAUUCAGUUUUUCUGUCCCCCUCUUCAGUUUCUCACUUUGUCACAUGGAGACCCUUUGGGGAUUCUUAUUUGCUCUCCCCAGUUGCCAACUCAGAGACGAAAGGAUUGUAGGGAGGGUGGCAGCGGCUAUGUAAGACAACUCGCCCCCAGCACCCAAUUUUGCAGGAAUGAUAGUGGGAGUCUCCCCCUCCCAUACAAACCGUUGCUGGCCAUUCAGGCGCAGCACCCGGCUAUCCUUGCGUUGGCUUUGAAGGCUAGUAUCCUUCUUCAGAUCCCACCCCAGGAAGGAAGGUCAGGGGGAAAUUCUGCAGGGCUGCAGCGCCCAGGGCUUGGUGAGCCUGUAGCAAAGGAGGCUCAUUCUGUUUUAAAAUGAUGGGUUAUCAGAUGGUCAUUUUAAGAGAGAAGACAACAACACACCAGAGGAUCAGAGAUACAGGAUAAGAAUAGUGUUUUAAUGACUCCCAAACAUGUUCCAACAGUGAAGGGAGGAAGCUCAGGUGGUCCCUGAGCUCUAGCUUGCAUUUCUGAGGGAGGUGGUCCUGUUUGCAGGUUAUUGACUGCGGGGGACGUGGAGGGUCUUUUCGGUUCUGUUUAUUUUUACUUGCCACCCUGUCUAACAAAGCCUUUGAAACUUUGAUGAGCUAGGAAUUCGGAGCAGCUCCAGCAUCAUUUUUUUAAACCCCCCCUUUUUUAAAAAAAAAAAUAAUAAUAAUAAAAUCAUCCUUUCCUUUGGACGGCUUUCAAGGCUAUUUAUUCCAUAGCCUUUUUCCUUUCAAGGAAAAGACCUUGGGGCCUGGCCACAGAAGGAGCCGUUGGUUUCCUUUUGGUAUGCAGCAAAUUAACAGGAUUCAUUACACAGGUCGUCUCAUAAUUAUUAUAUAUUGCACAGAGGGGUCAUCUACCAGGCACAGCCAUUUAUCAUUUACCCUUUCUGAAAUGGCUUCAUUAUACCCGCUGGCCUCUAGAGA